rnacentral:rRNA from 1 species
UACGUAGGGGUGCGAGCGUUGUCCGGAAUUAUUGGGCGUAAAGAGCUUGUAGGCGGUUUGUCGCGUCUGCUGUGAAAUUUCGGGGGCUCAACCCUGGACCUGCAGUGGGUACGGGCAGACUAGAGUGCGGUAGGGGAGAUCGGAAUUCCUGGUGUAGCGGUGAAAUGCGCAGAUAUCAGGAGGAACACCGGUGGCGAAGGCGGAUCUCUGGGCCGUAACUGACGCUGAGGAGCGAAAGCAUGGGGAGCGAACAGG